GACGAACGCUGGCGGCGUGCUUAACACAUGCAAGUCGAACGAUGAAGUUCCUUCGGGAAUGGAUUAGUGGCGAACGGGUGAGGAACACGUGAGAAACCUGCCUUUCAUUUUGGGAUAACUCCGGGAAACCGGGGCUAAAACCGAAUACUCCGUCUCGGCGGCAUCGCUGAGCCGGGAAAAAAUUUUGAUGAAAGAUGGUCUCGCGGCCUAUCAGCUAGUUGGUGAGGUAAUGGCUCACCAAGGCAACGACGGGUAGCCGGCCUGAGAGGGCGACCGGCCACACUGGGACUGAGACACGGCCCAGACUCCUACGGGAGGCAGCAGUGGGGAAUAUUGGGCAAUGGGCGCAAGCCUGACCCAGCGACGCCGCGUGAGGGAUGAAGGCCUUCGGGUUGUAAACCUCUUUCAGUAGGGAAGAAGCGAAAGUGACGGUACCUAAAGAAGAAGCACCGGCUAACUAUGUGCCAGCCGCCGCCGUAA
rnacentral:rRNA from 1 species